rnacentral:rRNA from 1 species
AUGAUAGGAUGGAUGGACUCACAAACUAAUACUGACCAGCAUCCCUUGCACAGUGCACGUAGCGGCCGCCAUGUAUCCCUGCGCACCCGAGUCAUUUACCUAUACAACAACAACACUAAAAGAGAACUGCAGAAAUCACAAACCACCAAGCCGGCAGAAGAAGGACGAAGGAAACACAAACCCACCAUCAGACGCACCCCACAACAUCCCUCCCAAGAAACCGAUGCAGAGGAAGAAGAAACCGGCAGCAGCAGAUCCGCCCCACCCCCGGCGAAGAGGCAGGCAUCGGACCUCCUCCCUCCGAAGAGGCAGGCACCGAACACGCAGCCGAAGACCACCAAACACCCCGCUCACCAAAAACACCGCCGCCGCCAAAUUCAAAGGAGAAAAGGAAGGACGACGACCCUCGUAGCAGUAAAAGAAAAAAAACAUCACCUACACGCGGGCGCGUACACAAGCACCACGAAUACACACAAGCCAACCGAUAGAGCGAGACCAACAAGCCAGCGACAAAUACACUUACAAAAAGAACCCACCCCGCAAGCCACACACCUCGGUCAACCAGGAGCCUCCCCAUCAGUGGAGCUUAGAGUUUUCACCAACAGAUGCAUCCUGAUAUAG